rnacentral:lncRNA from 13 species
UCCGCCAAUCCCAAGCUGCUGGUCCUACCAAGAACCGCACUUCUCUCUAACACCCCCGCCCCAUUUGCAAGCCCGUAGCAUCACAUCCGUGCGCCUCGGUGUGACGGGGUGAAACUGGAUGCUGCAUGAAUGGGCUGCUGGUCGGACCAAGAAGAGUGCUUCUCUCUAACCCGCCCCCCAUGCGCAAAUCAGUGGCGUCACAUUCGGGCACCUGGUGUGACGCCUGGACUGCUUUCUCUCUGCCAAUCCCAAGCUGUGGGUCAGCCCGAGAAUCUCACUUCUGUCUGACUCCAGUGCGCAAUUCAGUGGCGUCACAUCUGGACACCUGAGGCUUCCCUGGGUUGAAAGUGGGGGCUGAACCGGAUGCUGCUUCGAGCCUGGCCCGCUUCCCUCUGCCAAUCCCAAGCUGCCAGUCAAUUGGAGAAUCUCCCUUCUCUCUAAACCCCCAUGAGCAAGUCAGUGGCGUCACAUCUGGGCACCCGGGGCUUCCCUGUGUUGAAAGCUGGGGCGGAACCAGAUUCUGCUUGGAUGUGGGGGCGGGUUUAGGUUCAUGGGGGCUUGGUUUUUA